CUUAAGCACAAGCUUAAGGCAGCGUUUAGAUUCAUAUACGGCUUUCUUAAGAUAUACUUCAAAAUUUGAUCUUAUCUAAGACAUGUGGCUGGGAUAAAUAUUCAUAAUUUUAACUUAAGACAAGCUUGAGCAUUAGAUAUUUCUGAUGUAUUCAUAUUCAAAUAAGACGGUCUUAUAAAAUACCUUAACCUUACUUUUCAUCCAAAUAAGAGAGUUUUUUUCUAAGUCAUCAUUUCAGUUGACUUGAGAUAAUCUUAAAUGUAUUUACAGUGAAAAAAGUGGUUCAAAUAAUGAAUUUUUUGGGGUUAUAUAAUAUUGACAUCGGCGAUAAUAAUGAUAUCAAUUUUGAUUUGGACGACGAUGAUUUAAUCAUACGUAUUCCAAAACGUUAUAUUCGAGAUGUGCAAGAUCCUUUUGAUUUUUGUUCAGACAUCGAAUUCAAGUAAAGAUAUAGAUUUGACAAGGAUAAUGUUAAAUUCGGAAUAUUACCUCUUAUAGAACAAAAUUUAACUAAAGUCAAUAAACGAGGAUUACCAAUCCCACCAAUUUUUCAAUUAUUAUGAUUGCGAUUUUAUGCAACUGCAAGUUUUCAGCUCAUUUUAGGUGAUACCAUGACAGUAUCACAACCAACAGUUUCCAGAAUAGUUUUUUGGGUGAGCGUUUUACUUGCAAGCGAAAUUCAUGAUUACAUUAAAAUGCCUCGAACUCAAGCAGCAAAAUUAGAAAACCAGAGACUUUUUGAACGUUUGGGAUUUGGUAAUGGAGCAAUUGGAAUACCCGGGGUUGAUGGAGCAAUUGAUUGCACUUAUAUCCGAUGAGUUCAUACAAUGUUUCAAAAUAUUAAUGAAAUCAACAGAAAUCGAAAGGGCUAUUUUUCUCUGAAUGUACAAGCGAUUGUUGGCUCAUGGAUGGAAUUUUUAGAUAUUGUUCCAGAAUGGCCUGGUAGCGCUCAUGAUAGUCGAAUUUUUCAAAAUUCUCGAAUUUACAUGAGAUAUUCUGAACGUGAACUAACUGGGAUACUUGUCUACGUAUUCUUGAUAAUUUGUAAUCAUAAAUUAAAGUCACAAUUUUAUCUCAGUUGAAUU
rnacentral:lncRNA from 1 species